rnacentral:sRNA from 1 species
GCUGCCCAAGGAGGCGGUGGGCGCCGAGCAACCGCCCUCUCCUGCAUCCACCAGCAGCCAGGAAUCCAAGCUCCAGAAACUAAAACGAUCACUUUCUUUCAAGACCAAGAGUUUACGGAGCAAAAGUGCUGACAACUUCUUCCAGCGAACCAACAGCGAAGACACGAAACUGCAAGCACACAUGGUGGCUGAGAUCAGCCCCAGCUCCAGCCCACUCCCUGCUCCAGGAAGCCUGACGUCCACACCCGCCAGGGCUGGCCUGCAUCCAGGUGGCAAGGCUCAUGCCUUUCAGGAAUACAUCUUCAAGAAGCCCACUUUCUGUGAAGUCUGCAACCACAUGAUAGUGGAUGCUUCAUAUAUACAGAUUAUCCUGGUAAAUAAUUGGGGAUACACAUAAAAACACCUGAACCAAAGCAUAUACAAAGUACUAGGGAAAGCCACAUGUGGAAACAAUAGUUCUACCUCAGGAGGAAGAG